AUCUGCCUACGGGACGCAGCAGUGGGGGAUAUUGCACAAUGGGGGGAACCCUGAUGCAGCGACGCCGCGUGGGUGAAGAAGCGCCUCGGCGCGUAAAGCCCUGUCAGCAGGGAAGAAAAUGACGGUACCUGAAGAAGAAGCCCCGGCUAAUUACGUGCCAGCAGCCGCGGUAAUACGUAGGGGGCAAGCGUUAUCCGGAUUUACUGGGUGUAAAGGGAGCGUAGACGGCGGUGCAAGCCAGAUGUGAAAGCCCGGGGCUCAACCCCGGGACUGCAUUUGGAACUGUGCUGCUAGAGUGUCGGAUG
rnacentral:rRNA from 1 species